rnacentral:rRNA from 1 species
AUGCUACACCAGCUAGGGGCUCCACGGAUCAUGCUGAAGCUCGACUUAACGCGCGCCUUCGACACCAUAUCAUGGCCAUUUCUAUUUGAGGUCCUGCGACAAUACGGGUUCGGAGACAGAUUCAUGGAGUGGCUCGCAAUCCUGCUUUCGACAGCGAGCACUCGCGUCCUGCUGAAUGGAGAGCCAGGACCCCCCAUAUGGCACCGCGUUGGCCUGAGACAAGGCGACCCCGUGUCCCCCAGCUCUUCGUGCUCGCCGUGGACACGCUUGGCAGGCUGA